rnacentral:rRNA from 1 species
GACAGAGGGUGCAAACGUUGUUCGGAAUUACUGGGCGUAAAGCGCGUGUAGGCGGCUGCGCAAGUCGGAUGUGAAAUCCCGUGGCUCAACCACGGAAGUGCACCCGAAACUGCGUAGCUUGAGUCUCGGAGAGGAAGGUGGAAUGCUUGGUGUAGAGGUGAAAUUCGUAGAUAUCAAGCGGAACACCGGUGGCGAAGGCGGCAUCCUGGACCAACACUGACACUGAGGAGCGAAAGCCAGGGGAGCAAACGGG